CUCAGUGGCAACAGUUUAGUUUAGCCCAUCCCUAUAAAUCCGUGAUACAAGUUUUAACAUGAUGCAGAUGUUACUGUGAUUCUAGAGAUGAACACUUUCUUUAUUCUGUGCUAUCCCAGUUCAUGAGUAUAUUUUCUCCCUUGGGCAGAAAAUUAAAGUGCUCACAAGACUUAUUUUUAAAGGCAUUUUUUUCUCUUCAGUGUAUGGGAAUUAAAUAAAUGCCUUUGAUUCUGGCUUUGCCAUGGAUGCUUUUCUUGAGCCGAAUAUAAGCCUAAUUCUGUGUUUUAAGUUCUACCUGAUUCUUUUUGCAGUAUACUAAUGCAUUUCCUGAAGAGUAAAAUUGAGCAGUGGAGGAUGGGACCAUUCAUUCAUUCAAUACGUGUUUAUUGAGGACGUACAGGACACAGCCUUUGCACCAAGGACACUCACAGACAGGUUUUGGAUAUGCUGUCUGUGCCAUGCAAUUUGAAGCCGUAACCUCUACACCAGACAAGUGAACAUGGAUGUGACUGAGCUGUGGAGCUGUUGAAAGGUGAUCCUGCUUCUCAGGGCUCCCUGCUUCUUAUGACCAAGGAACUGCAUUGAAAAGAGUGUUUCCUGGCUGUUGAAUGAUGAUGAAGCUGAGUUCCAGCUUUCUCGGUUUGGAUCUAACUGGACCGGAACAGGUCAUGGCAAGCUUCUCUUGGCAUUUUAGUUGUUGAUAAGUGAACAAUAAACUCUGUUUAAUAGUAAGCUGUGAUUUUUUUUUUUUUUAAAGAUGCACUGCCCUUCAUCUUUGGGCAACAUUUCUAUGACAGUGAAAGUGAUCAAGGCACAUGACUAAGGGGAAACUCCAUGAAAUGACACCCCUUUAAGAAAGAAAGAGCCCCAAGCCUCAAGCAUGUUAAACGAGAUCAUCGAAGUCAGGUGCUCAGCAUAAAGUCACCAUACAGCACAUGCUCAAUAAGUGUCAGGGGCUGAGAGGCAGUCUUUCCAGGGAGGAGAAAUGAAUAUGAAAUAAUGGGUAAUCACAGCUAGAUAGGAGGAAAAAGUUCCAGUUCUCUAGACCACUGUAGGGUGACUACAGUUACAAUAGUAUAUAUGUUUAGAUAGCUAGAAGGAUUUUUUUAAACUUAUAUUUUAGGCUCAGGGGUAAAUGCAUAGGUUUGUUUUAUAGGGGAGCUGCAUGUCACGAGGGUUUGGUGUACAGGUUAUUUCAUUACCCAGGUAAUAAGCAUAGUACGUAAGUAUCUUUUUUUCUGAUCCUCUCCCCUCUCCCACCCUCCACCCUCAAGUAGCCCCCAGUGUCUAUUUUUCCCUUAGUGUCCAUGUGUUCUCAUUGUUCCCACUUAUUGGUGAGAACAUAGGGUAUUUGGUUUUCAGUUUUUGUGUCAGUUUGCUGAGGAUAAUGACCUCUGGCUCCAUCCAUGUUGCUGCCAAGGGCAUGAUCUCAUUCUUUUUAUGGCUGCAUAGUAUUCCAUGGUGUGUAUGAACCACAUUUUCUAUAUCCAGUCUACUGUUGAUGGGCAUUUAGGUUGAUUCUAUGUUUUUGCUAUUGUGAAUAGCGCUGCAGUGAACAUAUGUGUGCAUAUGUCUUUAUUGUAGAACAGUUUAUAUUCCAGAAGGAGAAUACUGAAUGUUCACAACAAAAAGAAAUGAUAAAUGAUAGAAUUGAUGGAUAUGCUAAUUACUGUGAUGUGAUCUGUAUACAUUAGAUGUAUGGAAACAUUGCUAUGUAUGCUAUAAAUAUAUAUAAUUAUCAUGUAUUAUUUAAAAAAUAAAAACUAAAAAAUAGGUAAUCAAUAUUAAUCAAUAAAUCCAAGAGAUCAAGUAUUAAAAGGUAUUCUUAUGAAAUAAAGUUUACAUCAUUUCCACAUUUCUCCAAGGCUUGCCUGAAUCGUUUCACUCCCAACAUCCUGAGACAUGACUCAGAAGAGUUCAGGUAGCACAGCACACUGCUCACUCACGAGCUUCGGUUAUGUUUUUAAUCUAUAUGGCAAUGAUCAUAUUUACAUGACCAGGUCCCUGUGGCUGCUAGCCUGCCAAUUGUACCAAUAGACUUAACAAUGCAGCAAGUCAUAUGGUUAGCCCUGUGUCUGAUGGGCUGCAGGACCUAGACCUGAAUACACAGGAAAGACAUCUCAGGAAAUGCGAAGUCCUAAUUCAUGUCUGUUAAAUUCUGGCUGGCCACAAUGGAAACAAUCAAGUAAUUGAAAGACAGAAGUGUAACAGAGUAAGUUGCUUAAAUGCUUAGUGAGGAAUAAAUUCUGUAGACCUAUUGCUUUUAUUAUUUUAGCUCCAAGACAGCAACGUCAAACUAUGUCGAUAAAGGCUGGGGCCUAAACAAAACUGGAAUUACUCUUUCCUGGAUAAUUUGUCAGAAAGCAGACGUCUUGCUUAGUUUUCAAGAAUUACUUCCAAAUUUCAACCCACUUCACAAAUCACCAUUAGAUUGAACAUUUUUUAGACUUCAAGCAGUUUAGAAUAAAAGCCCAUUUAACUUUUAAUUCAAAAUGCUUUUUUUUUUUGCUAGUUUAGAAAGCUUUCUUGCCCAAUAUAUCUAUAGAAUAUUAAGAAGGAUCUAAAACAUUUGCAAGCAGUUUUUCCCCACUAAGAAUGAUGAUAGAAAUUUAAGAACAAUUCUUGAUCCAAUUCAAGGUUUGAGUGUAUAAGGUACAUUCGGUGAUUGAGUGUCACUUAACAGAGGUAUACAUAUCCUUCUUUUAAUCACCAGGACCCCAAAACCAAAUGACUUAGCUUGUAAAAAGCAAAAAUGAGAAGGCAUCUACCUAACUGCAUUUCAUAGAUAGUGUAGAAAUACCACAGAUACUAUAAAAUUCAUAGCUGACAGCAAUGCCAUUGGUAUGAGAUUAUAAUUUCAUAACUAUAAAAAUAUUUUUGUGAUAGCUGAUGUUAGGAGUUUUUGUAUAAUUUCCUACAUAAUCAUACGUCACAGCUUGGAAAUCAUAGACAAAAACUGACUCUUACAAAAGGUCAAGAAGACCUAGUCUCAGUUGUGAGAGUUGGAAAAGGAAAAUAUACAAACAGGAAAAUGCAAGACACAAAUAUCUUAGUCCUGGGGAAAACAAGAACUUCUAGAAAUCCUGUUUGCCAUCCCUGAUGGUGAAGUUUUCAUUCUAUUUGCCAGAACUUCAAUUCAAAAGCUUACUAGACAGAAACAGAAUUCUAUGGGAUAUUAUGUUUCCAUGUUGAAAGUCUUGUUACUUCUCAGCAACAGCUUUGCUGCUAAGAAGAAAAGAUCAUCAUACAUUACUCUUGUAAGGUGGUAUGAGUCAAAAUGCUUUGGAUGAAAAACAUUAAAUUAAAAAUUGUAAAGAUAUGCUGUUAUUUAAAACUUGGGUCUUUCACUAUGAGGAUUAUGUUUUCUUGUAGUUAUUUUUGCC
rnacentral:lncRNA from 1 species